rnacentral:rRNA from 1 species
GACAGAGGGUGCAAACGUUGCUCGGAUUUACUGGGCGUAAAGCGCAAGUAGGCGGUCUUGUAAGUCGGGUGUGAAAACCCGGGGCUCAACCCCGGCAGUGCACACGAUACUGCGAGACUGGGGGUACUGAAGAGGAGAGCGGAAUUCUCGGUGUAGAGGUGAAAUUCGUAGAUAUCGGGAGGAACACCAGUGGCGAAGGCGGCUCUCUGGGCAGAUAC